GAAAUGCGAUAAGUAGUGUGAAUUGCAGAAUUCAGUGAAUCAUCGAAUCUUUGAACGCACAUUGCGCCCUUUGGUAUUCCUUAGGGCAUGCCUGUUCGAGCGUCAUCUAAACCUUCAAGCCCUGCUUGGUGUUGGGUGCCUGUCCCGCCUCCGCGCGCGGACUCACCUCAAAUCCAUUGGCGGCGGCCCUUGCCUCCCUCUCGCGCAGCACAUUGCGCUUCUCGAGGCGCGGCGGACCGCGUCCAGCAAGCAACCGUCACACCGUCUUUGACCUCGGAUCAGGUAGGGAUACCCGCUGAACUUAAGC
rnacentral:misc_RNA from 1 species